rnacentral:rRNA from 1 species
GAUCAGCAUGCCGCGUGAGUGAAGAAGGCCUUCGGGUUGUAAAGCUCUUUUGUCAGGGAAGAAACAGCAGCUCUAACACAGUCUGCGAAUGACGGUACCUGAAGAAUAAGCACCGGCUAACUACGUGCCAGCAGCCGCGGUAAUACGUAGGGUGCGAGCGUUAAUCGGAAUUACUGGGCGUAAAGCGUGCGCAGGCGGUUAUACAAGACAGGCGUGAAAUCCCCGGGCUUAACCUGGGAAUGGCGUCUGUGACUGUAUAGCUAGAGUGUGUCAGAGGGGGGUGGAAUUCCACGUGUAGCAGUGAAAUGCGUAGAUAUGUGGAGGAACACCAAUGGCGAAGGCAGCCCCCUGGGAUAACACUGACGCUCAUGCACGAAAGCGUGGGGAGCAAACAGGAUUAGAUACCCUGGUAGUCCACGCCCUAAACGAUGCUGACUAGUUGUUGGGAAUUUACAUUCUCAGUAACGUAGCUAACGCGUGAAGUCAGCCGCCUGGGGAGUACGGUCGCAAGAUUAAAACU